CCAAAGUACAGCGGGCUUCGGCCCUGUCUGCACCCUUGUCUUUUGCGUACUAUUCGUUUCCUUGGUGGGCUUGCCCGCCAAAAGGACACUUUAAAACCACUUGUAAUAGCAAUCAGCGUCAGAAUAACUAUAAUAGUUA
rnacentral:misc_RNA from 1 species